UCGAGCCGGAUGAUAAAAAAUUAUCAUGUCCGGUUCCCUCGGGGGAUGGAUCCAUAAGAAUUCACCUAUCCCAAU
rnacentral:ncRNA from 3 species